rnacentral:rRNA from 1 species
UAGGGAAUCUUCCACAAUGGGCGAAAGCCUGAUGGAGCAACGCCGCGUGUGUGAUGAAGGGUUCCGGCUCGUAAAACACUGUUGUAAGAGAAGAAUGACAUUGAGAGUAACUGUUCAAUGUGUGACGGUAUCUUACCAGAAAGGUACGGCUAAAUACGUGCGAG